CUUCUAGCAUCUAUUAUUGCUGCUGAGAAGUCUGCCAUCAUUGAAAUGAGCCUUCCUUUUCAGAUAUGGCUGUUUAAGAUCUCAACCAUUGCUCAGAGACAGAGGUCUGACCGAACCAAUAUACCCACUAAACCUUUCUCCAGAGAACUGGUGUAGAAGCUGAAGGUCAGGAAGCAGAAAACUAAUGAACAGAAGUCAGCCAACUAUAGUCCAUGGGCCAUGGGCCGACCCCGUGGCUUAGCGGUUAGGUGCGCGCGCUCCGCUGCCGGCGGCCUGAGUUCGGAUCCUGGGCGCGCACCGACGCACCGUUUCCCCAGCCAUGCUGAGGCCAUGUCCCGUGUGCAGCAACUGGAAGGAUGUGCAACUAUGAUGUACAACUAUCUAGUGGGGCUU